UACGAAAGGAGCAGGUGUUAUUCAGAUUAACUGGGCGUAAAGCGUCUGUAGGUGGCUUUUUAAGUCCGCCGUCAAAUCCCAGGGCUCAACUCUGGACAGGCGGUGGAAACUACUAAGCUGGAGUACGGUAGGGGCAGAGGGAAUUUCCGGUGGAGCGGUGAAAUGCGUAGAGAUCGGAAAGAACACCAACGGCGAAAGCACUCUGCUGGGCCGACACUGACACUGAGAGACGAAAGCUAGGGGAGCGAAUGGG
rnacentral:rRNA from 1 species